AGGAAUUGGCGGGGGAGCACCGCAACGGGAGGAGCGUGCGGUUUAAUUGGAUUCAACACCGGAAAACUCACCAGCGGCGACUGUUACAUGAAAGUCAGGCCGAUGACCUUACUAGAUUUUCAGAGAGGUGGUGCAUGGCCGUCGUCAGUUCGUACCGUAAGGCGUUCUCUUAAGUGAGAUAACGAACGAGACCCUCACCAAUAGUUGCUAUCCCAUCCUCCGGGGUGGGAGCACACUAUUGGGACCGCUGGCGCUAAGUCAGAGGAAGGAGAGGUCAACGGUAGGUCAGUAUGCCCCGAAUCUGCUGGGCUACACGCGCGCUACAAAGGGCGGGACAAUGGGCUCCGACACCGAAAGGUGAAGGUAAUCUCGAAACCCGUCCGUAGUUCGGAUUGAGGGUUGUAACUCACCCUCAUGAAGCUGGAUUCCGUAGUAAUCGCGAAUCAACAACUCGCGGUGAAUAUGCCCCUGCUCCUUGCACACACCGC
rnacentral:rRNA from 1 species